rnacentral:tRNA from 1 species
GACUCUGUAGCUCAGUUGGUUAGAGCGCUGUACUGGAAUCGCAGGGUCGCAGGUUCGAUUCCUGUCAGAGGGU